rnacentral:tRNA from 1 species
GCGAGGAUGGCGGAAUUGGCAGACGCGCUAGGUUGAGGGCCUAGUGGACAUUUAAGUCCAUGGGGGUUCGACUCCCCCUCCUCGCACCA